rnacentral:lncRNA from 1 species
UCAGCUCUAGUGAUUAGUUUACAUUUGGAAUUGGAAUUUAUUUUAUUUGCUUUGUGUGUAACUACACACAUGGUAUAUUUUCAUUUAUAUCCUGUUAGGACUAAGGCAUUCACUCAACAUCGCCUUUACAACUUUUGGCUCUUUGUUAGAUCCUUGAGUCAUAUAUGUGAUCAAUAUAUCUUUGGAUUUCUAUCCUAAUGCUUUUUUUUUUUUGGUAAGAUUCCUAAUACUGUACGUAAAGUAUGUAAAGUAGUGCAUAUAUAGUAGUGUUAUAUGCGUAAGAUAUUCCUUCUUGUUGUGUAAGAACACCAUCAAGUGUGUUCUUUGACAUGAAACUUUCAACAUGGCAUCUAUAGGUAUUUCUAGAGAAGUGCCCGUCCUUCAUAUAUGGUUUACACUAUUGGUUUACCCUAAUACUGUAUAUACAAUAGCGUAAACCAUAUAUGAAUGACCGGCUCUUCUUCAAAAAUACCUAUACAUCAUACUUGAUGGUGAUGCUUCUUGACCAAGAUAGAAUAUCUUUUGCAUAUAUGAAUGGCUGGCUCUUUUCCAAAAAUACCUAUACAUCAUACUUGAUGGUGAUGCUUCUUGACCCAGAUGGAAUAUCUUAUGUCAUCAUCAUCAUCCAAGACGUAAUAUCUUAUGUGGAUUUCAAUUCUGUGUGCUUAACAUCCAUCAUGCUUAUCAUUACGUGGCACAUCGGUAGUCUUUGAUUGAUGAGUAAUCGAAAUGGAAUAUGCAGAGAAAGUGUGGGGAAAGGGCCUAUAAAAGGUUGGAUAUGAUUUUUUCAAUAAUUUUCUGGUCGGGAAUGACAAGAGUUUAUGCGACUAAGCAUAAGGACAAACCACCGGCGGCUUUACAUCUAUUUUCAAGAUUUCUUCUUCCAGAUUUGUGCGACCAUUAUAUCACCGACAAUCUCUGACCAUCCAUCUGUACGCAAUAUCCACCAUCCAGAAAAGCAACAAAAUGGAACUGAAACCCCUUUGAAGUCCAGAGGCUAGAAAUAGCCAAGACCUCCGAAAGCGGAAGAGCUCAGACUUCUCUCUCUCUCUCCUUCUCCUAGUCUCAGACUUUGUCUCUCUUCUCUCCAUUGUAAAAUUCUCUGUAAGAUUUGUGAUCGUAAUAUAGACGAUCUGCCUGUCUAUUACCCAGCCGGGUGGAAACUAUUCUGCAGUUAUUGUAUCCGUAAAC